GGAUUAACAAUCAUCAAUAUUGAUUAUAGAAUAGAAUAUGAGAUUGAGUAUCUAUCAUUGCAUGUAUAAUUGAGAACAUUUAUCUAACGCUUUCAUACAGGGGUAAGUGUCACAUAAAAGAUAUAUGAAGUAAUGAAUAGUGACAAAGAUAAUUGAUCUGAUCAGCAUAACUUAGCCACAUAUAAAUAUGAUAAGCACCUUAAUUAGAUAUUCUAGAAAGUCAUUAGCAUGGUAUUAGAACGAACUACAAGAAUAUUUCCUAAGUUAUUCUCAACUAUAUAGUCUAGCAUUAUCAUAGUUAGUGCAAGCAUACUUAGCAAUCAUUGCGAGACAGGACUACGCUCAUGCAUAGUGAUAUUAUCAAGGUAAAUGAGAAACAUAGUAACAAUAUUGCUCUGCCAGCCCAAUACACGAGAGGGGGACUAUAUAAGAAUCAAUGAAGCUGUCACUAUCACGAACUACCCCGCGAUCCGGCAUAUUGGGUACAAUCGUAGAUAAAUACGGUAUAAGCACCACGCCUACACAAUAUCUAUCAUUUACCCAUGGAUCCGAUGGAUAAACGCUAUACGAUCCUAAACAUGUAUAUAGAUCCAAUCUAACUAAGCCAAGUAUAUAACUAUGAUAAACUAAGAACAAUAUAAUCUUGAAUAUAAACAAGUAGAGCAAAGUCAUAAGCAAUAUAUUGAAGUAGAACAAAGUCAUAUUCAUAAUAUUGAAGAACAAAGAUGAUUUGAAGAACAAUUAGAAGCACAAUUAGAGAAUUACCAAGAAUCCUCUUGACAGAUCUGGAAACCAAUCGAAGAUUGACUCCUUCUAGUUCUAAUCCUAUGUAGCUAUGCUAAUCUAGAUGUCUAAUUGAUGUGGUGGCUCUAGGCUUGAUCAGGGGCUUCUUCUCCCUUGAGGAAUAAUGAAUUAGGGUUGAGAGGCUCUCUCCUCCAGGGGCCAGGGGGUAUGGUUUUAUAGUCCCUUCAAGUGAAUAUGGGCCGUUGGAUCAAACCGACAUUGAUUGAACGGUUAUCCUUGAUCCUUUAGGUCGGUGGAGAUCUUUCCCGAAAGAGUGUCCUAAUUGGAGUCCAACAGGGGGCGGGCGCCCAGUGCCUGGCCCCGUUCGGCAUCCGCUUCCUUCCCGUGGCUUCUGGAGUCUUCUAGAUAUAAGAUAAUUGCACGACAUGUUAAUAUCUCUAUGUAAUCCCGACGUGUGGGCCUUUCUUCCGUAUUUCCUGAUAACCCCCUGCAGAAAUAGACAAACACCAAAACUCGUGGAAUUUUGUCAGAUAAAACCCUAAGUCUAGAUGUUGAUUUCAUUUGGAUCCUUUUCUUUGUUUAUUUGAUAAUUAAAUUUGAUACUUAAGGACCGUCAACAAACUCCCCCAAGCUUACCUCUUGCUCGUCCCUGAGCAAGGAUAGAUUAGAAGUUGCUGCAAUACUUUUAAAAAUUGACGGUACACAUGCUUUUAAAUAAGGUCUCAUCUCUGAGUUAGAGUAAACUGUCAAGACUUAAAACUUAUUCAUUUUACCUUUCACCAUGGGAUUUGUAACCGUCACUUCUGUCUUGAGUAGUUAAAAGAUAGAAUAGUCUAGCCAAGUGCCAUGUCUCUUAUUCUUGAUCAGCUAUAGCUCUGGAGUUUUUGCAGAUUUUCAAAUAAAACUCAGAAAUUCCUUGUAUGACUCUCUCAAAUCUCUCUUUUGUGGUAUUUCUGGAUCCUUACCAAGGCAGUGAUGGUAUAUGCCUUCUCUCAAGAUAUGUGGUAUUUAUGGUAUAAAGCAUAGUGACAUUGUCCUCUCUCUCACCCUACUCUAAUAAGGCUUUAAUAUCUAGAGCUCAUAGGUGGGAGAUAAAGUAUACAUACUUACAAGACAUUUAUUGUAUAGUCAAACCAUGGAUCCAAAGAAACAAAUCAAUAAGUCAAAUCAAGAUGUGCAUGUGUGGCGAAAUGAAUGGUGUAUGGUGAUGAUGGUGAUAACAAUGGUGAAAGCCUAAUUCUACUUUUGCUCUUUUGAGGGGAUACAUACCUUCCUUGCUUUUAAAAUUUUGUGAGGAGAAUGAGAUGCUGUUCUUUUUUCUUUUUCUUUCCUCUCAGGUGGGUAUCUUGUACCCCUAAUUCUACUGUCGGACACUUGUCCAUUUUUACCUCUCGUCUUAUUUUUUCUUUUCUUUUCAUUCGAGGUUCCGGGCACUUGCCCCUUUUUAUUUCCUCGUUUUUUUCUCUUUUUCUUUUUUUAUUAGAGCACUCAUCUCUUGAGAUAAUAUAGCAAGUGGUAGUAACAAGAUAACUCGAGCAUUUAUUUGACAAGGGAAACCAGAAAUAUUUUUGGGUAUUCUCUCCCGGAUUAGGAGCAGAAUAUUUUUGGGUGGUUCUGGAGAUGGAAAUAGGUGGAUAUAUGUGGAUAGUACUUCCGGAGUAGAAGUAGCAUGUAUGAAUGAACGUGCAAAUGAAUCUUGAUUUAACCACAUGACAAGCUUCUAGGGGUCCACACAGCUUGACCACACUCAAUGCUCAUAAGUAGUAGAAGUAAAUGUGUGGCUCAAAAUCUAACAAGCAUGUAUAUAUGGCUGUGGUAGGAAUUUAAACUCUCAUCAUACAGGAACUCAUCAUGCAUUAUUUUAAAGAUUUUAAAAGAUAAAAUUCUCCAGAAUUUCUAGCAUCUCUAGGAAUAGAUAAACAGCAGCUCAACCUUCCCAUAUCGUAUCCGUUAACAACUUAGACUUCAGAUCAAGUUUUCAUCCCACAAGUUUAGGUUUAGAGCAAGCUUUAAAUUAUAACAGUUAUAUCUAAACUAGUGAGAGAACUUCAAAUUUGCAAAUCAGGCACAACAACUAUUCAUCAUAUCCAUGCUAGAGUUUUAUUUAUUACCGCUAGAGUUUUAUUUAUUAGAAUCCAGUUUAGCAUAGCCACUUUAUUUAUUUAUUAAACACACUAAGCAAAAGACAUAUAUUUAUAUAUAAGCACAAAAUCUUUAUUUGGGUUUUCAUAGUUAUGUAUAUUUAUAUUUUAAUAUAGUAUAAGAUAGAUAUAAAUACUUAUCAGGAUAAAUGGGGGUGCUCUCCUCCAAGCUGAAUUUUGACGUAAUUUCUCUUGACGUAGCUAGCAGGUGGCAGAGGUGUAUUUGAAAGUCAGCAGUAUCUUGAUAGCAAUUAGAAUGUCCUCCGUCUGCUAGUCUUCUUGAUUCUUAAAUUCUUCUCGAAUAGACAACAAGGCUUGUGGAACUGAUUAAGUGUUAGCAUAAAUAUCUAGCCUUCAUCAUGUUGAGACUCCUCAAUAAAUGUUACUCCCUGUUUUUUUUUAUAUUUUUAUUUUAUAAAGCUGAAAAAAAAUAUUUAUUUUAUUUUUAUGCCACCACAGUGAAUGUACUUAUGGGUUUCAUGCCACUCGUAUAGUCACAUGGGGCUUACUAUUUUUUUAACAGUAUUUGAAAUAAUUGAAAGGGAAAGGAUAACUACCAAGUUUACCUCUUGGCAAGGCGUUCGGUGUUUUUAAGUCCUCUGAACGGGACUCUCCAUUUUCUCAUUCGUUCUGGGAUUCGUUGGAUGGCGGAGUCGGUUCUUCCGGCGGCGCCUCUUCUUCAUGUAUGGUUAUCUUUUCUCUCCACACCUGACUCGGUGCUACGGUCUCCUCAGGAUAGUCUGUUUAAACUGUAUGUCUUCUGACCUUACAACUUCUCCUUCAUAGUCUGCCCAUCCGUCCUUGAUGAUCUACCUCCUCUGGUUGCGGUUGCGUCGCUUUCUAACCUGCUUAGAUUCUUCAACGAUAUAUUUAGGGUCAGUAAAAUAGUGGCGUACCUUCUCUGAGAGGAUGUGCAUAUGGACUUCUCCAGUUCCAAUGUAGAUGAUUGCUUUAACGGUGCUGAGGAAUGGUCUUCCAAGGAUGAUGGGUGGAUCGUAUUCGUCUUCUCCCAUGUCAAUAACCUGAAAGUCUGUGUAGACAAAAUGAUCGUCUAUUUUGACAGGGACAUCAGUUACUGUUCCUUUAACUACUCAAAACGUCUGAUCUGCCAUCUGGAGCUGAAUGUAUGUUGGUUUUAAGGGCAUGGUUCCGAACAAGAGCCGAUAGGUGACUGCGGCCAUUAUGUUGACGCCCGAUCCGGUGUGGCAAGUCGUCUUGUAGAAGUUGUAUCCAUUUAUGGAGCAAUAGAUGCUUGGCAUUCCUGGGUCGUCCUUCUUUGUCAAAAACGGUGACUUAAGUUGAUGAUCUUGACCUCCAUGAACUGCAGUGACCAUCUUAGCUGACUCGGUCCACACUUGCUUGUUCCUGUUCCUCCUGUUGGUCCUCUUCCUUGGUUCAUGUCUGGAUUGUUCUGGGAUUUGUGUAGUCUUGUUCUUGAAGGAAAACGUCUCCUUUCUCCCUUUGAUGUAGAAACUGAUCUUGGCAGCACUAGCGUAGAUGACAGCUCCCGAGGUGUUGAAGAAUGGCCUCCCUAAGAUGAUGGGUGCUCUCUCAUCAUUACCGGUCUCUAUCACCACGAAGUCUGCUAGGGCAUACAAGGUACCAACUCGGACACAAAGGUUCUACAAUAUUCCUUUUGGAAAACUUAUCGUCUAAUCUGCAAACUGCAAACACAUGGUUGUUUCUAAUAAAGGAUAUGUAAAGAAUUUUUCAUAGAGUACCCUGGGUAUAAUGUUGACGCUGGAGCCAA
rnacentral:lncRNA from 1 species